UAUUAAAAAUCAUAGACUUCAUCUCUCUCUCUCUCUCUCUCUCUCUCUCAAAAACUUCUUCUUUCUCAGUGCUUUCCCUCACAAGUCAGAGUCUUUAGGCUCUUUAGCCAACUUCUCUCUUUCCUCUGCAGUCUGCACUGAUUUCUCUCCCUCUCUCUCCUCUGUGCUGAUUUUUCUCUCUCACUCCUCAGCAAGAACGUUCUCUCUUCUCCUAGAUUUGGAACCCACUUUGAUGAUCUGGAGGACAUGCCACUUCAAGACUGGCUUGUGAAAAACCUGUAGGAAGGUCCUUUUGGUUGCCCUUCUCUCUGUGCUUGUAUGGUUAAUGUGGUGAGACCUUGCAGGAUAUAUGGAUGUCGCACUUGAGUGAGAAUGAAAAAAAAAAAUAGAAACUCAGGGACCUUGCAGGAUAUAAGUAAACUUGAUAUGGAUGUUGCACACUUGCACUUGAGUAAAAAAAAAAAAAAAAAACUCGGGCAGUUGGAUGCAAUUGUCAUUGCACAAAAUGGUAAUUCAGUGCCUCUAUAAUUACUUGUUAAGUUUACUUUUACCUUGCUACAGUAACUUCACAGUAUUUGAAGAUUUUAAUCUUUUAUUGUACUUGUUAUUGCAUAACAAGGCUUGGAAAAUACUGAAUUUCUAUGUGCACCGUUUCUGUUCCAAGAAAAUUAGAAUUGAAACAUUAGAAUUCUCAGUUGUCAAUAAAUAUGUAUAAUAGAGUUGGCUUCUGCUAUGGCAAGAAAAAUAUCUGAUUA